rnacentral:rRNA from 1 species
AGUGAACGCUGGCGGUAGGCCUAACACAUGCAAGUCGAACGGCAGCACAGUAAGAGCUUGCUCUUACGGGUGGCGAGUGGCGGACGGGUGAGGAAUACAUCGGAAUCUACUUUUUCGUGGGGGAUAACGUAGGGAAACUUACGCUAAUACCGCAUACGACCUACGGGUGAAAGCAGGGGAUCUUCGGACCUUGCGCGAUUGAAUGAGCCGAUGUCGGAUUAGCUAGUUGGCGGGGUAAAGGCCCACCAAGGCGACGAUCCGUAGCUGGUCUGAGAGGAUGAUCAGCCACAUUGGAACUGAGACACGGUCCAGACUCCUACGGGAGGCAGCAGUGGGGAAUAUUGGACAAUGGGCGCAAGCCUGAUCCAGCCAUACCGCGUGGGUGAAGAAGGCCUUCGGGUUGUAAAGCCUUUUUGUUGGGAAAGAAAAGCAGCAGGUUAAUACCCCGCUGUUCUGACGGUACCCAAAGAAUAAGCACCGGCUAACUUCGUG